AGUGCCUAUAAAUAGUAAAUACUAGUUCUUUUGAGUCUCUUCUAUAGUAGGGUAUGAAUUAAGUUUUCAAAUUUGUGAUAUGAAAAUACUUUUAUAUUUUUUCGUCUUCUUAUUUGUUCUAUGCGUAGACUUUGGUAAUAACCAAAUUAAGAUGACAGAGGCGAACAGGAUAACAUGCACGGGUUGUGCAGCCGGUGCUGAGUAUUGUUCACCAUCCAACCCAAAAAAUAAAUAUGACCCAAAUGCGGCAUGUGAUAGUAUUUGCGUGUUUUUUCAUGGUAGGGUUUCGACCAAGGGAGAAUGCUUUCCAAACCACGGAUGCGUUUGUACCUAUCCAAAUCCGAAUCCAAGUCAGCAAUGUCCCGAUCCCCGGUGUUAAUUUGUUAUAAUAAUGCAUGGGGAAUAAAGUAGUGAUGAUGAUUGUAUUAUUAUCUAUCAAAUAACUAAUAAUUAAAUAGUGGUUGUACUAUGAUUUAUAAAUUCUUGCCUUUCCCAUUUUAUCAUUAA